CGCGUAGGCGGACGGAUAAGUCUCUUCGUGAAAUCCCACGGCUCAACCGUGGAAUUGCGGGAGAUACUAUUCGUCUUGAGUUCGGGAGAGGUGUGUGGAAUUCCCAGUGUAGCGGUGAAAUGCGUAGAUAUUGGGAGGAACACCGGUGGCGAAGGCGACACACUGGACCGAUACUGACGCUGAGGCGCGAAAGCCAGGGGAGCAAACG
rnacentral:rRNA from 1 species